GUGCCAGCCGCCGCGGUAAUACGGAGGGUGCAAGCGUUAUCCGGAUUCACUGGGUUUAAAGGGUGCGUAGGAGGGCAGGGAAGUCAGUGGUGAAAUCUCCGGGCUUAACUCGGAAACUGCCGUUGAUACUCUCUGUCUUGAAUCCCGUGGAGAUGAGCGGAAUAUGUCAUGUAGCGGUGAAAUGCUUAGAUAUGACAUAGAACACCGAUUGCGAAGGCAGCUCGUUACACGAAGAUUGACUCUGAGGCACGAAAGCGUGGGGAUCAAACAGGAUUAGAUACCCUUGUAGUCC
rnacentral:rRNA from 1 species